GGCCCAGAAAAUCCACCCCUUCCUUUCAGACUCAAUCUCGUCUCUGCGUUGACGGUGGUAAUCCGGACCACCGAAUCUUUUCCUGAAUCGAAUUAGGAGGUAACUGCACUCGGAUGUCUAUGAGUUUGACAUUAAGAUAUCAAAAGAUUCAUUCCGUGCACCCACGGGAGCGUAACUGAAGAGAAAUCCAGUAAGCAUCAACCAAAUCUCUCUUACCCGAGUAUCGAAUAUUUGGAGAGCAAAGACCUGCUUUGUUUUGGAGAUCACGCAACGUCUUCAAAGUUGAUAGAUUUUGCUGAAACUCGGUUGUGAUGCUUUUCCCUCACCAUUAUUUGCAACAUUGGCAAGCUUUGGUUGAAGUUUGGGUAAGUACCAUGUUUUCUCAACCUGUCUCUUGGUGAUUGGAGCAAUUACUGGCAUGAAAAUAUGUCAAUUCUAGAGAGAGAAUAGUGACUACUGGGCUUACCUAAGUCAAAUUGAAAAACCGAAAUCACCACUGAACUGUUUGAUGCAAAAUUCUUGGUUGAUUUGCUCAAGGAAAUAACCUUGAAGAAAGCAUGACCACUGGGUUUUCUCGAUAUUUCUAAAUGUUUUCUUUUGUUUGCAAUGGCGGUCGGUUUAUUCGUAACUGUCCAAAAAUUUCAAGGUCUAUAUUUGGCGGUAUCAUUAGAAAUAGUGAAGAGUUGGGAGGUAAAGAACCAUCAGAACAGAAUGUAGAAAACCAUUCUUCAAAUCGCAUGUUUAUCGACAGUGAUGUUGCAGAGAAAAGCUCACAAAAACCAGAACUAGAACAAGAUGUUGGGGAGUCUCUUGUGUUGAAUGAGCUUCUCUCUUGUGGAACAGAUGCUCAUGAGGAUGACCCAUCGGCAAGUUUCACUUAUGGGGAUAAUCCACCUGAAAAUUUCACUCAAAAUUGCAACCGCUCUCCUUUGGGGCAUUUAUUUUAUGAUAGCAUUGUUAUGGAAGCCAAUAAAAUAUUUGAAGUACUGCGAAAAGAUGGACCAGGGUUCGAUUUGCGAUGUGAAUUGGAUGCUAUGGAACCCAUUAUCACUAACCGGAUUGUUCGAGAAGUCUUGCUUAAGAUAAAAAGGGGUAUAACCGAUGACAAUAGGGAGAGAAGUGCUAAAUUGGGCUACAAAUUCUUUGUAUGGUUAGGUCAACAAAAAGAUUACCGACACACCUCGAACACAUACAAUCUAAUGUUGGAAAUCUUCUCAGAUACUGGGGAGUUUAAACCAAUGUGGAGGUUGGUUGAUGAAAUGAUCCGAAAUGGCAUUCCUGCCACUGCUAGAACUUUCAACAUUCUUAUAUGCACUUGUGGGGACGUGGGCUUGGCCAGGAGAGUAGUGGAGAGAUUUCUGAAGACCAAGGCCUUCAAUUACCGUCCUUUUAAGCAUUCUUAUAAUGCUAUUCUCCACUCUCUAUUGGGUUCAAAUUUGUAUAAAUUGAUUGAAUGGGUCUACAACCAAAUGCUUCGGGAUGGACAUUCCCCCGAUACACUAUCAUAUAACAUCCUUAUUUUUGCAAAGUACAAAAUGGGUGAGCUACAUAAGUUGCACCGAUUUUUAGUAGAAAUGAGUGAGAGUGGCUUUGCCCCAGACUUUCAUACGUAUAACAUUAUGCUUAAUGUAUUAGGUAGAGGAAACAAGCCUGCAGCCGCUUCAAAGCUAUUGAAUUAUAUGGAUGAAGUGGGUUGCCACCCUCGUGUUAUUCACUUCACAGCUUUGAUUGAUGGGUUCAGUCGUGCAGGGAAGCUUGAAGAAUGCUUAUAUUAUUUUGAAGAAAUGCUUAGCAGGGGGUGUAUGCCUGAUGUGGUUUGUUACACUGUGAUGAUCACUGGGUUUAUAGCGUGGGGUGAACUGGACAGGGCUCAAGAAUUCUUUCAUGAUAUGAUUAAUAAUGGGAACCUCCCAAAUGUCUUCACGUAUAAUUCCAUGAUUCGAGGUUUCUGUAUGGCUGGGAAAUUUGAGGAUGCAUGCUAUAUGCUCAAGGAUAUGGAAUCAAGGGGUUGUAACCCUAAUUUCCAGGUGUAUAGUACGCUAGUGGAAAACCUUCGGAGUGCUGGGAAAGUCUCUUUGGCAAAUGAGAUUAUAAGCCAGAUGGUGGAAAAGGAUGCAAAUCACAGGCACAAAAAUGUGUGGUAAUUAUGGCCUCUCCAUCAAUUGGUUGAUCCUGUUGAGGCACCUCUUCAGAAAGGAUAUGACUGUUGCUGCAACAAGAACACAGGAAGUGCCCUCUUUGAUAUCCAUGUCCCCUGGCAGUCCAGAUGGUCCACACCCUGUCUUCCAAUCACCCUUCAUGGAGAGGCAGGGAGGCCACCACAUGUCUCUCACCUGUCCCGUUUACACCACAUAUACCGGUCACCGUCUUAAGCACGCUCGUGAGGGAUCACAUGGCUGCCUCCCCACCAUCCAUUCCUCCUUCCCCAUGCGGCAAGGGUGUCCACUCCUCUCCUCAUCCAACGGUCAACUAUUCUCAACCUAUGACAGCACAUUCGACCGACUGGAAAGUGGCCCUUUGGUAACGUCAGCAACGUGUUCCUUCUCCAACUCCAUUAUGUGUACUGGCUCUCCCUCUUCGGCUUCCCCCUCCUCUGUUGCCUUAGUUCCCGACCAACCCUUGGCCAAUACAGCAACAAGGCAUCCCUUCUUCCCUCUGACUGUAAUUUGGCUGCUAUUGCAGAGCACGGGUGGGUUGCCUUUGGAGGCGUCACCUAUCACAGUACCCCUCUCAUCCCACAGGACUUGCAGCAAUAGAAACUCACACUCCCAUAUCUGACCCACACUUUUUGUCUUGGGUCCUCAUCUCGGCUACCAUCCUGGACCUUCCACCGGUGCCCUCUUCGUCUUCUUUUGCGCUACCUCUACUUCCCCCACCAUUCCCCGCUUCCCUGCACUGGCCCUCACUCCCUCACAACCCAAGGCCUUUCCCCCAACCUUUCAUCCACCCUUCCUCUCGGCCCUCCUCACCCCCACCCCCCACUGUGGGGAUCUUCCCCUCCCUCUCAAUCCUCAGAUUUGCGCCCUCAACAGAGACAACAACACUCUCUUCCCCCUGCCAGAGCCCCACAACCUAACAGGAAUUUAGGCCACACCCCCAUACUGUGGUUCGAUUGCCCCGCAUCCCUUCAUAAAUUCGUCCAAGGAGGUGACAGAUCUGGUCUUACUCCUUGUUUCGCCCCAUCAAAUGCCUCCCCCACCCACCGGCCCUCCAUCAAGCCCUGCUCCUCUCCCUCGUCGCCCUUACUCCGAACCCUAUUUGUUUCCUACCCUACUCAACGUCUCCGGCAACCACUCUGGUCUCCUCUUCUCCCUCCUUUCCCCUGGUGGGAUCCACCUCAUCUCCUGGACUCAACUCUCCACCCCUGGUCAACACCUUUUUUGCCUGGUCCCUUGAAUCCCCAAUUUCAUCCCGGAUCUCGCUUGAUAGCUUCCAAUCGGAAUCGGUGAUCUCGGUUGACUGCACAUUUGUCCAUGACAUGGACUAUGCUCAAGGCAAUGCUCUUGAAGUCAUGAGGGUCAUGGGUUUCAAAUUCAACGGCCCCAGGGAGGUUUUGGAAGUCUCCAUCUCUGCUGACAUCAACUCCCCCUCCAAAGCUAAGACAAAGGGCUAAAGAGAACUGUCUAACCUCCUAGCUUUGGGGUAAACUAUGACAAAAGACAGCUACCGGACCCCCCACUAUCUUCACCUGCCCAUCUGGGCUCUUUAGCCAGUGCUUUGACCAAACUCGCCUCUCCCAAUGAGGAUCUUGAUGUGGAACAUUCGUGGCCUGGGCCACCCACAAAAAAGAAACGUGGUUCGAGACAUCUAUGCUGAGUUCUCACCCUCCUUCCUUGCCCUGAUCGAAACCAAAGUCCCCUCCCCCACUCUCUGCUAUCUGGAGUAUUUGGGUAUUCAGGGCGUAUAUUUUAACUUAGGCCAAUUUUCAACCAUGGCAAUUGUCUUUCGAUCGUCUGACAAGCCACAAUGGAAGUGUUUGGCGGUCUAUGUUCCCAAUCCCGACAGCCUCAGGCCCUCGUUCUGGGCUGAAUUACAGACCAUAGCCUUGAGGCCCGGCCUCCUAGUGUUGGGGCGGGGACUUUAAUGUCACCCGUUGGUCCUCUGAUUGCAACUCCAGCCAAUCAAUCUCACCGGCUAUGGUUCAAUUUUCAGAUUUCAUUUUCCACAACCAGCUUAUCGACAUCCCUCCCGAAGGAGCUCAGUUUACUUGCUCAAACCAUUCCAUAAACCGUUCCCGCUCUAAGGUGGACCACUAAAAUUUCGGAAGAAGGCAACAGAUGGGCAAAGGAAGAGAUUAUGUGCGUGGUGGUUGGCUGUGCAUAGUUCAUCAAAGUGACUUGGAUGACGAAGACAACAAUGUGAAACAUCUCGACCACUACGCCAUCCUUUACUUGGCUCUUCAGGAUUGCCUUGUGAAUACCAACAGGAACUGGAAAUCUUGCCAACCAGAGGUGCAGGCUUUGAAAGCAUGCCAUGAGAGGAAGAAGAGAGUACCGAAAGAGAACUCCAGUGCUUUUGAUGGCUGUUUCUGAUGAGGGAAGUAAGAAACAUUUUGAGACAACCAGGUUUUGGCUAGGAUAAGGCUAAUCGAAUGGUGACUGCCGAACCAGCCAUAUGGGAUCAGUGUACAGCGAUGAGUUGAAAUGCAUUUGUUGUCUAUUUCUUUGUGGUUUGGCAAGUUUAGGUGCAAUGUUCACAGAAAUUCAAUACAUACGUGUGUUAUCUUUACAAGAGUUUACUUUUGUGACAAAGUACAGAGGCAAGUCUUUGCCAGUAUACUUCAAUGAAUUGGAGAAGAUAUUUGGCACAGAUGUUUCGGAUUGAAGCCAUGUGAAAGGGGGAAGAAAUAGGGGUUGAUGUCUUCCUCAAGGUAUAUCCGCAUCUCAAGACUAUCUUCCUAAGCAUCUAAUCUUUGCUUUCAUUAAAGUUCUAAUUGUUGUCUAAAUAUUUUUUUAUUUUUUAUUUUGGGAACAUUGUGGGACAAACAACAACGUUGUUUUAUUGUUGAAUGAGAUAUAUUUUUGAGGUUGGGAUA